CUCUUGCUGUAGGGAAAGGUGACUUCCAGGAGGGGAAAAGAUCGACUUUCUUAAAAAUUAAUAGGGAAUCUUGCUAAAAGCAGCUUUUGCCUCUACAGUUAGACUCUACAGCUACAGCAAUUGGACAAAGGAGAGAGAAACUACAUCCAGAGAGGCAGCAGAUGCUAUGGGGUGAGAAGCAUUUCUCUGCCACUGCCUUCUGCCAGGAUAUCUCUGCCUUGGAGCCGAUAGACCAUGGACUGAAACCUCUGAACCCUGAGACAGCAUAAACCUCUCCUCCUUCAAGUUGUGGGUGUCGGGUGUUUUGUCCCAGCAAUGAAAAACUGCUGAAUACAGGAUCCUUCUGCUGUCUGAACUGGGCCAGAACUUCAGACUAAAAGAUUUUCUGAGCUGGAACAUCUCCUAAUAGGAUUUCUGCUAAGGCCUUUUAAAUGCUGGAAAAAUGUGAGAUAAGGCCAAGGCCUGGAAGUGGUGAAGCCAAAAUACUGAAGAAGGUGGACUCCACAUAAUAAAAAUCACUAAGGAACAUUAAAA